GAUGCUGGAUGUGGGGCCCGUUCCACGGGUUCCGUGUCGGAGCUAACGCGUUAAGCAUCCCGCCUGGGGAGUACGGCCGCAAGGCUAAAACUCAAAGAAAUUGACGGGGGCCCGCACAAGCGGCGGAGCAUGCGGAUUAAUUCGAUGCAACGCGAAGAACCUUACCUGGGCUUGACAUGUGCCGGACGGCCGCGGAGACGCGGCUUCCCUUCGGGGCCGGUUCACAGGUGGUGCAUGGUCGUCGUCAGCUCGUGUCGUGAGAUGUUGGGUCAAGUCCCGCAACGAGCGCAACCCUCGCCUCGUGUUGCCAGCGGGUCAUGCCGGGAACUCACGGGGGACCGCCGGGGUUAACCCGGAGGAAGGUGGGGAUGACGUCAGAUCAUCAUGCCCCUUACGUCCAGGGCUUCACGCAUGCUACAAUGGCCGGUACAACGGGAUGCGACAUGGUGACAUGGAGCGGAUCCCUGAAAACCGGUCUCAGUUCGGAUCGGAGCCUGCAACCCGGCUCCGUGAAGGCGGAGUCGCUAGUAAUCGCGGAUCAGCAACGCCGCGGUGAAUGCGUUCCCGGGCCU
rnacentral:rRNA from 1 species